rnacentral:sRNA from 1 species
UUUUAGCCCAGAUGGAAACGGCAUCCUUUUUUGAGGAGGCACGACGAGAAAAAGAUAUAGUGUACAGCUGGAUCAAUC